rnacentral:rRNA from 1 species
UUUACGGGAGGCAGCAGUGGGGAAUCUUGCACAAUGGAGGAAACUCUGAUGCAGCGAUGCCGCGUGAGUGAGGAAGGUUUUCGGAUUGUAAAACUCUGUCAGGGUGGAAAAACGGGCAUGUAUCUAAUAGGUGCAUGUCUUGAUGGUACACCCAAAGGAAGCACCGGCUAACUUCGUGCCAGCAGCCGCGGUAAU